UCCCUCUUAGCGUAAUGGUCAUCGCGUUUGGCUACGAACCAAAAGGUUGCAGGUUCGAGUCCUGCAGGGGGAG